CAGCAGCCACGGGAAUACGAAGGGGGCUAGCGUUGCUCGGAAUCACUGGGCGUAAAGGGUGCGUAGGCGGGUCUUUAAGUCAGGGGUGAAAUCCUGGAGCUCAACUCCAGAACUGCCUUUGAUACUGAAGAGCUUGAGUUCGGGAGAGGUGAGUGGAACUGCGAGUGUAGAGGUGAAAUUCGUAGAUAUUCGCAAGAACACCAGUGGCGAAGGCGGCUUACUGGCUCGAAACUGACGCUGAGGCGCGAAAGCGUGGGGAGCAAACAGGAUUAGAUACCCCGGUAGUCCCUGUCUCUUAUAA
rnacentral:rRNA from 1 species